rnacentral:rRNA from 1 species
UACGUAGGGAGCAAGCGUUGUUCGGAUUCAUUGGGCGUAAAGGGUGCGUAGGCGGCGCGGUAAGUCGGGUGUGAAAUUUCGGAGCUUAACUCCGAAACUGCAUUCGAUACUGCGGUGCUUGAGGACUGGAGAGGAGACUGGAAUUCAUGGUGUAGCAGUGAAAUGCGUAGAGAUCAUGAGGAAGACCAGUGGCGAAGGCGGGUCUCUGGACAGUUCCUGACACUGAGACACGAAGGCCAGGGGAGCAAACGGG